AUUGAACGCUGGCGGCAGGCCUAACACAUGCAAGUCGAACGAGUGGCGGACGGGUGCGUAAUGUCUGGGAAACUGCCCGAUGGAGGGGGAUAACUACUGGAAACGGUAGCUAAUACCGCAUACAAUCGGCUGAGCCCAGAUGGGAUUAGCUAGUAGGUGGGGUAACGGCUCACCUAGGCGACGAUCCCUAGCUGGUCUGCGAGGAUGACCAGCCACACUGGAACUGAGACACGGUUCCGACUACUACGGGAGGCAGCAGUGGGGAAUAUUGAACAAUGGGCGCAAGGCUGAUGCAGCCAUGCCGCGUGUAUGAAGAAGGCCUUCGGGUUGUAAAGUACUUUCAGCGAGGAGGCGUUACUCGCAGAAGAAGAACCAGGUAACUCCGUGCCAGCCGCCACGGUAAUAC
rnacentral:rRNA from 1 species